rnacentral:rRNA from 1 species
UACGGGGGGGGCAAGCGUUGUUCGGAAUUACUGGGCGUAAAGGGCGCGUAGGCGGUUGGAUAAGUCAGCUGUGAAAACCACGAGCCUUAACUCGUGGCCUGCAGUUGAGACUGUCUGGCUUGAGUGUGGGAGAGGAGAGUGGAAUUCCUGGUGUAGCGGUGAAAUGCGUAGAUAUCAGGAGGAACACCGGUGGCGAAGGCGGCUCUCUGGACCACAACUGACGCUGAGGCGCGAAAGCUAGGGGAGCAAACAGG